rnacentral:rRNA from 1 species
CACCGCGGUGAUACGAAAGACUCAAGCUGACAGCCCACGGCGUAAAGCGUGGUUAGGGUAAAUAAAAAUUAAAGCCGAACGCCCCUUAGGCCGUCAAAAGCAUAUGGGGGCAUGAAGCCCACUUACGAAAGUAGCUUUAUACUUCCUGAACCCACGAAAGCUAAGAAA